UAAAAAUUUAGCCUGUGUAAGGGCAAGUGC
rnacentral:piRNA from 1 species